rnacentral:antisense_RNA from 1 species
UGAGAGGAUUUCUUUAUUUCGCGCGUUCAGACCCAACACACUCGGGACGCCUUGGGGCCCUGUGAGGGCUAAGCAGGGUGGUGGCGCCAGCUCCUGGGGAGGCCCCACUCCCUGGGGAGGAAAUACACGGCAGGGGGCUGCACCCAGCCCCCCACGGAGGGACCCGUGUUGCUCUAACAGGGACGCUGAAGUUGCCUCUGACGCCCUGUGAGGGGCCUGUGGCGGCCCCAGACCCAGCCCAGCCAGGCUAAAGGAGCCUCCCAGGGGCCCUCAGGUGGUCAGGUGGGGGCUUCCCGGCCCUGGAGCCCACCGGCCCUUCUAGCCACCUGUGCUGGGCCAGGUGUCCUCUGAGGCCGGCAGGAGUGCGGCCCCGGCUGCACUUGCACUUGGCGGCUGGCAGGGGCGGGGUAGGGAGGUCACCCCGGAGGCCGGGGUCCCCAUGUGCUAGGGGAAGACCUGCCUUCCCAGCCAGUGUCCACAGGGCAGCGACUCCAUGCUCUGAGGCUCAGGGACCAAGGCAGGGAUGGGUGUGGGGCCCAGACUCCAAGCUCUAGGGGUUGGGGCACCAAGGCAGGGCUGGGCAUGGGGCUCAGGGCCUUGGAGGUUUUCCUCAGUUCUCAACAUCGCAGCACAGGGCCCGUCACCCAGUCCUCUGGGCCCGUGUACCCAAGCCGGAUGCAGGCCGGGGAGUGCAUGUGGGGCUCCUCUGUGGCGCCACUGUGAAGUUGCUCUCCGGGGCGGUCCCAGCCUCCAAACCCUGGUGCUACGAGUCCGUGGCUCAGGCCCAGGGACCACAGGCCAUCUGCUCAUGGCUGAAAAUGAGGCCAAGCAGCUCCCAAAUCUCGAAGACUCCACUGGUGUGGAGGCAGAAGAGCCCUUCCAGGGCAGGGCAGCCCUCGAGGCAGCAGCAGGGUCGAGGGCUCUGUCUCACGCACACGGGUACAGGCACGCAGGUGCCGGCCCUGCCGCUGGCUCCCAAGAGGCCGACAGCCCGGUAGGGAGGUCACACACACACAGCUGAUCCCUGGAGGUAAAGAAACCUAGACGAGGAGAGCAAAGGUUGGGCCUGCGCAAGGAGGCGCCAAGGGGGGAGACCACUGCCCACAACAGGGCCAGUCCCGCGAGAGGGUCAGUUCCGCGCCUGCCGCCUGCCCGCCCAGCUGCAGGGUGCUCGC